UAAGAACUAAAACAUCUACUGAAAUUUUCCUUAUUUUAGACAAUCCUCAGGAAACAUCUCCUCAUCAUUCAGUUGCCAGCAUGCAUGGCUAGAAUACUUAUAUCAACACAGAAGUGGCCAUAACACUUAAAUUUGUCCAGGUGAUUCUCCUGAGUUUCUACUAGCUACCUUUAGAAAUUAACAACAGAUGACUAACCGUGGAAACCAAAUGGGCUCUCAGUAUCUGCUGACUGACGGAGCAGCAGGACGGCAGGUGCAUCAGGGUGCUGACCUGGCCCUUCACCCUCUCGUUGCAUCGGGGAGCACAGGGCCUGUCCGUGCAGAUGCAGCAGUCCUCAAAGCAUCUACAUCCUGUUUCUCAAGAGACAUUUUCCAGAAUCUUGGCAGUAGGUGAUUCUGAAACACUUUUGAAUUACUCUUAAUCCUUUAUAAUUAGGAAUCCAGAAUAAAAAACACAACCCUGGCAGUUGUUAUGACGAAAUGAUCGCCAAUGUUUAAGGGAAAUUGAAGCAAGAAGCAUAAUUUCUUCCUUUAGGUUAUAUUUCGGUUCAGGACUUGAAAACAACGUACAAUGAACAGCUUGUCUUGGGAGAAGAUAUGAUAAAAUGUAAUAAUGUUGUUAAAGUAGCGUAGAAAAAUCCCAACCAGCAAAAACUUAAAAUGAAUCCCAAUUCAAGAACUUUUCUAUUUGGAACCCAUUCAAAAGAGAGAAAGUAUAAUUUUAAGGAAGUUAUUUAAUUCUAAUCAUUUGUGGAGAAAGGUUAUCUGAAGACAAAAUUCUCUGAAAUCAGGAAUCUUGUUUUAGAAUUAUAUUUAUGCUCAGUUCCAGUUCUAAAAAGAAGCAACGAUUCAUUAUAGAUAUUUAAACUCUGUGAAAAAUACUAAAUUUGAAAUUCACCAGAGAUAAUUUUUAAAAAUAUAAAGCCCUGGAUUAUAAUUUAGA
rnacentral:lncRNA from 1 species